rnacentral:rRNA from 1 species
AAAAAAACAUGUGAGAACCAUGUUCCCCGUAAACCUAAGGUUUCCGACGGAAGGUCAGUCCGCGUCGGGUUAGUCGGUCCUUAGCCGAGGUCGAAAGACGUAGGUGAUGGACAUCCGGUUAAUAUUCCGGAACCACUUAGAUGGAGCGAUGAAGGGACGCGGCGUGGUAGGUCAGCCUCUUAUUGGAUUGAGGUGCCAAACGUCUAGGAUGUUGAAGGGUGUAGGAAAAUCCGCACCCCGAAUCCGAAGCGUGAUGGCGGUGCCUAGAGCCACAAGUGAUUGAGCCAUGCCGCCAAGAAAAGCUUCUAAGCGAUGAAGUUUAAGUGACCGUACCGCAAACCGACACUGGUAGGUGGGUAGAGUAUACCAAGGGGAGCGAGAGAACCUUCGUUAAGGAAUUAGGCAAAUUUCCCCCGUACGUUCGCAAUAAGGGGGGCCUCUGGUGGUUAGCUUCGGCGAGGCUGCUGGAGGCCGCAGUGAAAUGGCUCUUCCAACUGUUUAACAAAAACACAGGUCUCUGCUAAGUCGAAAGACGAAGUAUAGGGGCUGACGCCUGCCCAGUGCUGGAAGGUUAAGGGGAGAGGUUAGGGGUAACCCGAAGCUUUGAGCCGAAGCCCCAGUGAACGGCGGCCGUAACAAUAACGGUCCUAAGGUAGCGAAAUUCCUUGUCGGGUAAGAUCCGACCCGCACGAAUGGCGUAAUGAGAGGAGCACUGCCUCAACGAGGGACUCGGCGAACAUUGAAGGACGUGUGAAGAUACACGUGACCCGCAGCGGGACAAAAAGACCCCGUGAAGCUUUACUAUAACUUGCCAUUGAGUUAGGGCUAAACUUGUGUAGUAUAGGUGGGAGGCUUUGAAGCUGGGACGCCAGUCUCGGUGGAGCCGCCGUUGAAAUACCACCCUGGUUUAUUCUUGGCUCUAACCUGUCGCCGUUAUCCGGCAUGGGGACAGUGGCUGGUGGGUAGUUUGACUGGGGCGGUCGCCUCCUAAAGAGUAACAGAGGCGCCCAAAGGUUCCCUCAGGCUGAAUGGAAACCAGCCGUUGAGUGUAAAGGCACAAGGGAGCUUGACUGCAAGACAUACGCGUCGCGCAGGUACGAAAGUAGGGCUUAGUGAUCCCACGGUUCCGUGUGGAAGGGUCGUGGCUUACCGGAUAAAAGCUACUCCGGGGAUAACAGGGUAGUCUGGUCCAAGAGUUCAUAUCGACGACCAGGUUCGCCACCUCGAUGUCGGCUCAUCACAUCCUGGGGCUGGAUAAGGUCCCAAGGGUUGGGCUGUUCGCCCAUUAAAGUGGUACGUGAGCUGGGUUCAGACCGUCGUGAGACAGGUCGGUCUCUAUCCGCUGUGGGCGCAAGGGAUUUGAGAGAAGCUGUCCCUAGUACGAGAGGACCGGGAUGGACAGACCUCUAGUGUGCCAGUUGUUCCGCCAGGAGCAUCGCUGGGUAGCUACGUCUGGCAGAGAUAACCGCUGAAAGCAUCUAAGUGGGAAACUCGUCUCAAGAUUAGAUCCCUCAUCCGUAUGGAGUAAGACCGCUAGAAGACUACUAGUUUGAUAGGCGGCAGGUGUAAGAAUAGUAAUAUGUUCAGCCAAGCCGUACUAAUGGUCGAGGGCUUACGAU